rnacentral:misc_RNA from 1 species
GAAAUGCGAUAAGUAAUGUGAAUUGCAGAAUUCAGUGAAUCAUCGAAUCUUUGAACGCAACUUGCGCCUUUUGGUAUUCCGAAAGGCAUGCCUGUUUGAGUGUCAUAUAAACCUCACCUCUACUGUUUUUCAUUAGACAUGUGGACUGGUGCUUUGGGCGUCUGCCGUUUACUCUGGCUCGCCUCAAAUGUCUAAGUGGAAUGCGUAAUAAGUCUUCGCAACCCUCCACUCUAAUACAAAUUUUUAUAUUCUGACCUCAAAUCAGGUAGGACUACCCGCUGAACUUAA